UACGGGAGGCAGCAGUGGGGAAUAUUGCACAAUGGGCGCAAGCCUGAUGCAGCCAUGCCGCGUGUAUGAAGAAGGCCUUCGGGUUGUAAAGUACUUUCAGCGGGGAGGAAGGCGAUGUGGUUAAUAACCGCGUCGAUUGACGUUACCCGCAGAAGAAGCACCGGCUAACUCCGUGCCAGCAGCCGCGGUAAUACGGAGGGUGCAAGCGUUAAUCGGAAUUACUGGGCGUAAAGCGCACGCAGGCGGUCUGUUAAGUCAGAUGUGAAAUCCCCGGGCUUAACCUGGGAACUGCAUUUUGAAACUGGCAGGCUUGAGUCUCGUAGAGGGGGUAGAAUUCCAGGUGUAGCGGUGAAAUGCGUAGAGAUCUGGAGGAAUACCGGUGGCGAAGGCGGCCCCUGGGACGAAGACUGACGCUCAGGGUGCGAAAGCGUGGGGAGCGAAACAGGGAUUAGGAU
rnacentral:rRNA from 1 species